rnacentral:rRNA from 1 species
UACGGGGGGUGCGAGCGUUAAUCGGAAUUACUGGGCGUAAAGGGUCUGUAGGUGGUAUGUUAAGUCAGAUGUGAAAGCCCAGGGCCACUACGUGAACUGCAUUUGAUACUGGCAAACUAGAGUAUGGUAGAGGAAUGGGGAAUUUCCGGUGUAGCGGUGAAAUGCGUAGAUAUCGGAAGGAACACCAAUGGCGAAGGCAA